rfam:Camelus ferus unplaced genomic scaffold scaffold618, whole genome shotgun sequence.
UAAAAGGCUCCAUUAGGAGCCAACUUUCUUCACUAGAGUGAAGAA